rnacentral:lncRNA from 1 species
AACAGCAACGUAGCCGGAUGAAGCAGACAUUUUUUUAUUUUAUUUUUUAUUUUUAGGAAGCGCAGUCAACGAAACACAGUUGCGUCUGAAACCGCAGCCGCUUCGUUAGGAGCCGCAUCGAUCUGGAUCCGAGGCAAGGCGGCGUGUUGAUCUGGAGCCGCCAUCGAUCCGGAUUCGCGGAAGUGAGAUGGGGUGGCGGCGGCUGGUGGUGCCGCUCGAUCUGGCUGACGCGGAGGGAGCCGCUCGAGGCACGGGAGGGAACCGCCUCGAUCGGCCUCGAUCUGGCGAGCGACGGGAGAAACGCGGAGGGAGCCGCUCGAGGCACGGGAGGGAACCGCCUCGAUCGGCCUUGAUCUGGCGAGCGACGGGAGAAACCGCUCGAUCUCGGGAUGCCUCGAUCUGGCGAGCGGCAGUAGAAGCCACGGGAUCUGGCGAUCUGGCGCUCGGGAUGCCUCGAUCUGGUGAGCCACGGGAGGGAACAUCGGCGCUCGGGAUCCCAUCGGUUCUGGUCUGUCUGGUUCCCGUCUGAAUCCAGAAGCUAAAAAAAGAGACGGCCUUCCCAGAGAUCGAUCCGAGACGGAGUAGAAGCUGGAUACCGCCGCGAGAGCAACUUGUAUUCCCAUGAGGCCAUAGGCCGAUAUAUAUACAUGUACAGGUGAUGGAAUAUAUGCAGGAAACCCCUUAUAUAUUGGGAUAAAUACAAAAGGGUACAUGACUUAUAUUAUAACUCUAACAAGAAUAUCCCUC